CUUCAUCGCGCACGUGGAGUAACUUCGGGAGCCGAUCUAUAAUUUCUUUCAAUAAACCUGACAUUAUAGGUCAUUGCACUUUUUAGGUUGGGUGCAAUUAACUCAUUAAAUAAUUAUUUCUGUUUGCACCUGCAGAAUUAUAUGCUUUUUGACCAAAUGCUAUUAUCAAGCUUUUCUCCAAAUUGGCCGAGUAUGAAUUUUGAAAAAGAGCAAAAAGCAGUGCAGUUUACUUACAUCUAUG
rnacentral:lncRNA from 1 species